rnacentral:rRNA from 1 species
GUAACGCGUAGGAAUCUACCCAGUAGUGGGGGACAACUUAGGGAAACUUAAGCUAAUACCGCAUACGCCCUAUGGGGGAAAGCGGGGGAUCUUCGGACCUUUCGCUAUGAGAUGAGCCUGCGUUAGAUUAGCUAGUUGGUAGGGUAAAGGCCUACCAAGGCGACGAUCUUUAGCUGGUCUGAGAGGAUGAUCAGCCACACUGGAACUGAGACACGGUCCAGACUCC